rnacentral:piRNA from 1 species
UUCCUUGAUGUAAAAGGCUGGCUAGCGAUA